rnacentral:SRP_RNA from 1 species
GGUUCGGUCCGAGGCAACGGAUCCGUUUCGAACCGGGUCAGGCCGGGAACGGAGCAGCCCUAAGGAAUGGGGUCCGUGUGUUCUCGGCCCGGGCCCAC